rnacentral:rRNA from 1 species
GACGAACGCUGGCGGCGUGCUUAACACAUGCAAGUCGAACGGAAAGGCCCUGCUUUUGUGGGGUGCUCGAGUGGCGAACGGGUGAGUAACACGUGAGUAACCUGCCCUUGACUUUGGGAUAACUUCAGGAAACUGGGGCUAAUACCGGAUAGGAGCUACUGCUGCAUGGUGGGGGUUGGAAAGUUUCGGCGGUUGGGGAUGGACUCGCGGCUUAUCAGCUUGUUGGUGGGGUAGUGGCUUACCAAGGCUUUGACGGGUAGCCGGCCUGAGAGGGUGACCGGCCACAUUGGGACUGAGAUACGGCCCAGACUCCUACGGGAGGCAGCAGUGGGGAAUAUUGCACAAUGGGCGGAAGCCUGAUGCAGCAACGCCGCGUGCGGGAUGACGGCCUUCGGGUUGUAAACCGCUUUCGCCUGUGACGAAGCGUGAGUGACGGUAAUGGGUAAAGAAGCACCGGCUAACUACGU